GAUCUUGCAGGAUCUUGCAAGAUCUUGCCAUUAUCAUGGCAAGAUCUUGUCAUGAUCAUGGCAAGAUCUUACAAGAUGUUUGGCAAGAUCUUGCAGGAUCUUGCAAGAUCCUGCAAGAUCUUUCCAUGAUCUUGCAGGAUUUAUGUAAGAUCUUGGCAUGAUCUUGGUAAGAUCUUGUCAAGAUCUUGCUGGGAUCUUGGCAAGAUU